AUCUCAGGGAUGUGAGUAAUUGUUAUUUUCUUCUUUAUCCUUCUCUGAGUUUCUGGAAGUGUUGGCAAGGAUGCUGAAUUUCUUUUUCACCAGUGGCUAGAAUUAUCCUAACAGAAGAUGGCUAACAGUCACACAAGGACCUGAUCCAAGCCUUCUCCAACACUCUCUGGAUGUGCCCCUCUUCUUCAGCGGCACUCAUAGAUAGACAGGAUUAAUCUAGGUUUGCUGCUGUUGGGCUUCAAGAGAAGACCUUGGAGAGCAAGAGUCAAGCAAAUGCUGCAUUCGGCCACUGGGAAAGAAGUUGUUGGUCACAGUGAGCCUGUCUGGACUGACAAAGAACUGAACUUCAAGCGGCUUGUAAGAACACCAUUGUGUAAUUUUCAAAUGUAGCAGUCCUGGGAAAAUGCCAAGAUUCCUAGGUGCGGUCACCAGCUGAAGGUUCACCAGCAGAGCUCCAAGGAUGAACUCAGGGUCAAGGUUAGCUGGAAGGAGCCAGGAGUCAAAGAUGGGAGGUUUACAUGCCAAGGACAGCUGCUUCUGAGCCUGCUCACACUGGGCUGAGAAUGUCACCUCAUGACCAUGUUCUAAUUUCGUUUCUGUUUCCGUGGUAAAACACCCUGAUCUAAA